UACGGAGGGGGGCUAGCGUUGUUCGGAAUUACUGGGCGUAAAGCGCACGUAGGCGGCUUUGUAAGUUAGAGGUGAAAGCCCAGGGCUUAACCCUGGAAUUGCCUUUAAGACUGCAUCGCUAGAAUCGUGGAGAGGUGAGUGGAAUUCCGAGUGUAGAGGUGAAAUUCGUAGAUAUUCGGAAGAACACCAGUGGCGAAGGCGACUCACUAGACACGUAUUGACG
rnacentral:rRNA from 1 species